CUGGGGGAAAGGAGGUGUGACCAGAGGUCUGUGGCCUUCUGGCAAUUCCUGACUGCUGAACAACCCAAAGGGGCUGUGCGCAGCCAGGGGAAAGCUAGGGCAGCCACGAGGCUGCUCUAAUUUCACUGACCCUUGCAUGACCCCAGAGUAGGGAGGGUCUAAAGAGGCAUUAAGCUACAUUAGUUCCCCAGGGUCAGGCACUGGGUGGCACUUUGUGCCUUCUCCUUAUUAAUUAAGCGCAGAGGAGGGAGUUCAUCCCUCCUGUACCUCCAUGCAGCAGGGGGAACUUAGGCCAGAGGUUUGACUCCCCCCACACCCCAGCUUAAUUAUUUGUCACAACCUUUCACUAGCUCUUUGGGGCAGAGACCGUUGUUUAGUUCUGUGUCUGUACAGCGCCAUGCGCACUGGGGCUCCUCGGUGCUACCCUGAACAAUCGUGCUAAUAAUAAAUCAUCAUCCUAAUAAUAAAUUAGAACUGUCCUUUGCCGGCAUGUUCCACUUUCACUGCUGUGCACACACACACAACUGUCCAAAGGCAAGUGAGAGCAGGGAGCCCCCCACAACCUGCAAUAAUGUAUGUAACACACGGCCAGACCCCAGAGCUAUCAGACGCUGGUGUCUCGAAGCAGCACAAGGCACUCACUAGGACCUCAGGGAGUUUGUGAGCAGCCUGUUAUCAGCCCAACCCAGCUGGGAGGUCAGCACCAUUUUGCAGCACCCCUGCCACACCCAGAUUUAAGUGGAGGAGGCCCCAGGCACAAGUGACAACUAGGUUGCACCUCUUCUGGUCCCAGGCUCUCCUAGCCAAUAGGAACAGAGCACAGGCCUGUUCUAACCGAGCCAUAUGUUACCUCCCUGGGCUAAUUAACCCCGUGCCGCUGGCUCCUAAUCACAGCUCCGACUAGACUGGGCUAGAAGGAGUUUUCAAUCCGACACCGUGGCUGGCAGACCAGAAGCUCACUUUAAACCCUAGGGUAGACAGGGCACAUUGUAGUUUAACAUGCCUUAGCUGGGGGAGGUGAAGGGGAUAGGAGAGGAUCACAGAGUCUCACCCUUCUCUCCAGCACACCCAACGCUCAGCAGAAACCAUGGGAAUCCUGCUGAUUGCGGCCCAGAUAAAAGGAACCGAGAGUUUCGUGCUUUGUCAUCCUUUCGCAACUCUCGUCAGCUGGCUGUUGUUUCCCCGGGACUGUUUAUAUUUGUGGCUCCCUGCCGCCGCCCCCGGUUCACUGAACAGGGCUCGUUUCAGGGAGUUUGAUGCAUCACAGUGAUUCGGAAACCAAGUUCCUCUCUCGGGGCUUGGCAGAGCAGCGAACCGCAAGUCUGAUGCAGCGCGAAUGCCCUGACAUGUUCGCUCUCUGUCUCCAGUGCCUCAUCCUACAGAUGGGGAACUGAGGCCCAGAGAAGUGAAGCAACUUGCCCAAAGUCACUCAGGGAGUCGGCGGCAGAGCAGGGAUUUGACCCUGGGUCACCCACGUCAGCACCCUAACCACUGCACCAUCCGUGUAGGGGAGAAGCCCACUUCAUUGGAAGUUUCCUUCAUGAAUAAAUUGGCAUGUGGCUCA